rnacentral:tRNA from 1 species
GGAUGUGGCUCAAGCGGUAGCGCGCUUGCCUGGUAUGCGUGUGGCCCGAGUUGGAUCCUCAGCACCA